CUGAGGUGUUUGAAGUCUCCGGCGCCAGGGUUUCGUGGAGUUUUUGCUAGAAAGCGUCCUUCCUGUCACUCUGACAAGGCACGAAUUGAGAGUCCAUCCAAGAAAUGUAUACGUUUGGAAAAGAAAAACAUGUAUAAAUAUUUGAAUACUAAAUUCAUUGAGACAUCGUGAGAUUAAUACAAGUUACCUUUGGCCUCUGUGAUUGGCCUCUGAGAUGCUCAGAAUGGUGGAAUCAAACUCAUGACCUCAAGCUUGCCAAGCAAGGACUUAUGCCACUGAGCUACAUCCCUGGACCUGAUGUGAAUCUUUUCUCAUCCCUUGCCCUGAUGUGCAUAACUUGAUUCUGGAUAUAAGGUUACAUCAGACAUACCCAGAUCAAGGGACCGUCUACAAAAUCACUGGCCUGUUAUCUUCAAAAGUGUCAUGAAGGUGAAGGAAAGACUAAGGAACUAUUCCAGACUAAAGAAGACUAAAGAGGGAUGAAAAGCGGAAGGAAUGUGUGAUCCCAGGCUGGAUUCUUUUUCAAGGGCAUUCUUGGGACAAUUGGCAAAGCUUGAAUGGGGUCUAUUGGUGAGACUGUAGUAAAGUAUCAUUGUCAAUGCUCCGGUUUUGAUGGUCAUAUUGUGCUCAUGUAAGAGAAUACUGCUGCUUGUAGGAAAUAAACAUCAAAGUA